GGAUUUGAGAAAAUGGCACUGAAUCCCAAAUGAAAGAGGAUAAAGGAGUUCAUAAAAGAACUAAGAUUACUCAAUGACUCCAUUUCAGCAGUCAUUGAUCUGGUUGAUUUUGUCCUGGAAAUCCCCCUGCUUUGUCAUGUGCUGGGCUGCUGUUUGCAAGGGCUGCACCUGUGGCAUAUGCUAGGGAUUGAAUUGCCGGCCUCCACCACAGCCACAGCAACACGGGAUCCGAGCCACGUCUGAGAUCUACACCACAGCUCAUGGCAACACCAGAUCCUUAACCCACUGAGCGAGGCCAGAGAUUGAACCUGCGUUCUCAUGGAUACUAGUCAGUAUCCACUGAGCCACGAUGGGAACUCAUUACUCCUUAAUUGUAACCAAUUUUGAAAGUUUCAUGAGAGAGGAACUUUGUUCUUGUUAUCACCGCUGUGAGCAGACAUAUGUGUUAAAAUGUGGGGUAAAAUGGAGUGUCUCUUGGAACCCUCAACGUAUUAUGUCCUUGACAAAACCUAACCAAGCCUGAGAACACCUACCAAGACAUUUCAUUAAGAAUACUCAAGCAAUAAGUACAUUUUAAGUAUUGGGAUGAAAUGAGAUAUUUAUAAAUAAUGAGAUCAUUUUUUAAUAGGAGCAGUAAUCUGUGUUUUUAGUUGUGCUAUUCAAAAAUGUAACAGUAUUAUGCUCUUCACUCUUUAAUUUUCUGAUUAUUGAGUUAUUGUUUUCAUAGAAGUAAAUGAUACAGCGUUCUCAGCAACAACAAAAAAGUUUCCCAUGCUAUUGAAUGGACAGAGAGACUUUUACUAGAAUCCCUGAUGUGAUAAGCAAAAGGCUCAAACUAAUGAGGGGUAAAUUUUAUCUUCAUAAACAUUUUCAUGAUUAUGAUUGAAUUGUAGAUGUUGGAAGAGAAGUUUGGAGACAGAUCAGAGAUCUCUCUGACUGGAUUAGAGUCUACAAAAAAAA
rnacentral:lncRNA from 1 species